UUUGUGCAUUUACCUUUAGAAAUAGUUUUUAUUUUCCAAAAUGGUAAAUGUACAGAAUAUCGGCAAAUUAUAUCGGCUAUCGGCCUGAAAGUUCACAGAAUAUCGGUAUCGGUAUCGGCUCUAAAAAAUCAAUAUCGGUCGAUCCCAAGUAGAAAAGGGAGCAGAAAGGGUCUGCAAGGAGCAGAAAGGGAUCAGAAUGAGAAAGGAGCAGAAGGGCGCAAAAUAAGCAGAAAGUAGC